rnacentral:rRNA from 1 species
UACGGAGGGUGCAAGCGUUAUCCGGAUUUACUGGGUUUAAAGGGCGCGUAGGUGGGUCUGUAAGUCAGUGGUGAAAUCUCCGGGCUUAACCCGGAAAUUGCCAUUGAUACUAUAGGUCUUGAAUCAUCUGGAGGUAAGCGGAAUAUGUCAUGUAGCGGUGAAAUGCUUAGAUAUGACAUAGAACACCAAUUGCGAAGGCAGCUUACUACGGAUGUAUUGACACUGAGGCACGAAAGCGUGGGGAUCAAACAGGA